rnacentral:rRNA from 1 species
CGGACGGGUGAGUAAUGUAUGGGGAUCUGCCCGAUAGAGGGGGAUAACUACUGGAAACGGUGGCUAAUACCGCAUAAUGUCUACGGACCAAAGCAGGGGCUCUUCGGACCUUGCACUAUCGGAUGAACCCAUAUGGGAUUAGCUAGUAGGUGGGGUAAAGGCUCACCUAGGCGACGAUCCCUAGCUGGUCUGAGAGGAUGACCAGCCACACUGGAACUGAGACACGGUCCAGACUCCUACGGGAGGCAGCAUG